UUUAUAACCUCCAUAAGCCUAAACAAAACACUACAAUAGCCGGAGGUUUAUAAUCCCAACCCUUUAAAAAAGCACUAAUAUCUCCCAAUUUCCUCUAGAAUCUUCCGACCUUCAUUCUCCGUGCUUAGUAGCUAAAAAAUGUAGAAAUAUUUGCUCUCUUCAUUUCUCCUUCAUUUUCUUCUAUGUGCUUUGCAGUCGUGCAAUUCAGAUUUAGCUUUUUGCAUUUUCGGGAGUUGUUGAUCACAAUAAUUUCACUGUUUUAUGCUUUAUCCUGAAGGCAUCAACAGUACAUUGGAAAAGUGAAGAAUGCAGUUUUUCAAACUCAGAAGGCUGGUAGGAAGCGUGUUGUGGUAUCCACCGAAGAGAAUGCCAUUGUUUCGCUUGAUCUUCACCAUGGGGAGAUUUUUUGGAGGCAUGCUUUUGGGGACAAUGACACCAUUGAUGCAAUUCAUAUCUCCAUGGGAAAAUCCAAGUGAUGCCGCUAGCGGAUCCGCUUCACCCAUGGAUGCAAAAUCAUCUAGCUCCAGCUGUAUCUUUUCAUUUUGAAAUGAUUUUGUAUUGGUGCUAAUUAGAUCAUUGACAUUUUUUUGGCGUUCAAUUUGUUAAUAUUUUGUGUGGUUUAGUGGAAUGUUAAUAUUUCUCUAUUUUGAUAUUCAGGUUUAAGUGUUCAAUGUA